GCUCAGUUGGUUGAGCAUCUAAUUCUUGAUUUCAGCUCAGGUCAUGAUCCCGUGGUUGUGGGAUCGAGCCCCACAUUGGGCU
rnacentral:tRNA from 1 species